rnacentral:rRNA from 1 species
UACGAAGGGGGCUAGCGUUGUUCGGAAUUACUGGGCGUAAAGGGCGCGUAGGCGGCUUUUUAAGUCAGGGGUGAAAUCCUGGAGCUCAACUCCAGAACUGCCUUUGAUACUGAGAAGCUUGAGUCCGGGAGAGGUGAGUGGAACUGCGAGUGUAGAGGUGAAAUUCGUAGAUAUUCGCAAGAACACCAGUGGCGAAGGCGGCUCACUGGCCCGGUACUGACGCUGAGGUGCGAAAGCGUGGGGAGCAAACAGG